rnacentral:rRNA from 1 species
CGCGCAGGCGGCCUUUUAAGUCUGAUGUGAAAGCCCCCGGCUCAACCGGGGAGGGUCAUUGGAAACUGGAAGGCUUGAGUACAGAAGAGAAGAGUGGAAUUCCAUGUGUAGCGGUGAAAUGCGUAGAGAUGUGGAGGAACACCAGUGGCGAAGGCGACUCUUUGGUCUGUAACUGACGCUGAGGCGCGAAAGCGUGGGAGCAAACA